AGGCCAGCAGGAACGGGUGAGGAGAGCCAGGCCGGCGGCGGAGCGGCUGAGCGCAGCCACAGAGCCCUCUGGUGUCGCCUGCUGCGCUGCAGAGCAGCCACGAGAGCAGCCCGCUCCGUUCACCGGAGCCAGCAAGGGAAGCCACUUCAGGCACAAGGACUCUGCAGUGGAGGCUAAUGAGGUACCGGGAAGCCCUGCUCCAGCGGAGUCCCCAGACAAUAAAGUCUUCCCCUGGCAGUCAUGCAUCAUUGGACAGGUUCCCAGAAAUCACAAGCAGAUUAAACACUACAGGAUCUUUUCCCUUCCUGGCUCAGUAACAAAACAAAGAACAAGUGAACACAAAGCCUGGAGGAGAGGUUACAGAGCAUCUUGUUGUGCCACGUGGUGUUGCAGCUCUCCUGAAAGCUACCAGACUUCACCAAAACCAACCUUUCCCCCGUGGAGGAGCGGUUUGUGUUAGCAGCAGUCUCCUUCCCCUCUCAUGCUGGCAGAAAUGGUGCCGCUGCUGCCAUGUGGCUUCACUUUGUGGCUUGGAGUGACUUCUCCAGGGGCUUCUCCCUGAACUCAAGUGACUGGUCUCAGCAGCCCAAAGAGGAAAACUGCCAAUGUGCAAAAUUUCAUUAACUUGCAAGGCAGCAAAACAGAGUCCCCCAGGCCAAACUGCAAAUCUGCAAAUCUUGGUGUAAGGUAGAGGUGAAUAAUAAAGUAGUGGAAAAGGAGAACAGAGGGAACAGUACUGGUGGUUCCCAUCACUCUUUGUUGAGGCUGCUUUGAGAGUUCACUGAAAUACCCAGGAACACAGCCUUGGAUUUAGGUGAGUGGGAACACUCUGGACCCAGCUUCUCCAGGCCUCCCUCUGUGCAGGAGAUUUGCUGGCAUUGUCACAGCCACAAAGUGCAGGAAGAAAGCUGCACAAAGAAGAAAAACUUCCUCUAUUGCAGCCUUGAAUACUUCCAAGAAGAGAAACUGCUACCUAGCCAUGUCUGCAGUUCUGCUCUACUGCCUCAAAAAGAAGAGACAACUCCUUCUGCCACAUUUUUUCUCUAUUUCACAAUGGGCUUAACCAGCAGAACUGGGGAGGAUCAUCAUGGGACCAAUACUGCAAAGACAGGAGAUCUCUCUCCACGUUUUGCAGUCACUGAAUUCAAACUCAGCAUCCAUAAACUGUUCAACCACUUGCCAUCCAGGAGGAGGAACCAUGCACACUGAUAUGAUUUGAGAUCAACAGCAAUUUGGAGUGGACAUUGUAGCUGAGGAGAGAAUGAAGGUACAGGAGAUUUCAUGAAAACAAAAGGAAACAUCCAUUUACAAUGGACAGACUCAGUAUUGAAGACCUUGCUUACAAACAAGUAUCAAGCUGAAUUCGACAUUUGAUUCUGCUGCCUUCAUCUAAUGAUCAAGUGUAAAAGAGCCACAGCAAUCUGAAGUUUACAAUGCAAAUCAUGAAAAUGAAAUGUUUGCCUUGGAGUCGCCCCAUGCCCGGAGAGCAGUGACCCUGCAAACCAUCAGUGUGUGCAUGGCUCAGGACUCUGAUCUCUCACACAGCACCGGGCCUCAGUGGUAGUGGGGCACCCUCUUGGGACUCCUCUUUCUCUCCUUGUCCCUUACUCAGAGCACAGAAUUAAGAAAAAGAAAUCAAGUUUCUGUUUGCUUUCCCAUUAGACAUGGUUUCUGAACAGUUUCCAAAGUCUGGAAUAUUUGAAAUAUCAAGGACAUCACAACAACCUAUUUCACUUUCUACAACCCUCACUAUGUUUUUCCUGUUUCUGAUAGCCACCCCCAUUUUCUAAAGCUUUGGGAAUUUUCUGUAUAGGAAGAGAAGAUACAUUAGGAGUGAAGUUCUUAAGGAAUAAAACCCAAAGAGCUGAUAUUUCCUUCUCUUCCUUAUAUCCCUUCUCUUAGCUAUUUGACUUUCCCCUCAGUAAAUAUUGAUGGAACUGAAUGCUGGAGAGGCAGGGCUCUCACUGAUAGUCAUACCAAAAGAUAUCAAUACAUUAAAUUUUCAAAAUCUUACCCUAUGUCCAUUCUCCAAGUGCAGCAACUUUCCCAUUACUGAAUUAGAUAUUUUAAUAUUAAAAAAAAUUCAAACUUAUAAUUUCUACAUGUUAUUUUCUCAGACAAUUUAUUUAAAAAUACAAGAUACAGUAAAAAGUAUUUUUUAAAGUCACUAAAAAAAUAAUCCAGAACUGUGCUUUUGUCCUAGGAAAGCUAUAAAUGGGUAUUCAGUUUGUAGUAGGAAAAUUGCAUGAAGUUUUACAAAUAUAAUAGACUUACAGAGACAUGGGUAAAUUAGGUACAUGAGAAAGGAUUAAAACAGCUUUCUCUGAGGAAAAUUAUUUUCACAGAGGAGUCAAUGAGUACAGCUAUAACUGUGACCCAAGUAAAAUAGUGUAGUUCAGUUAACAAAACUUUUUGAUGAGACAUCUCCAAGGACUUCUACAGUAACUAAGCUGUCAUGGAAUGAAUGUGGAUGUCCUCUCCUGAAUUAACUGUCAAAAGAUAAGAGACCAAAUGAAGGCAUAAAUGGACUGCUUUCUCAUGGAGAGGCCAUCGGGGGAGCAGUGCUGCAUCUGUGCUUGUCAACGUGUUUCUAAAUGGUCUGAAAAAGAAGCUGAAUUCAACGCUAAUGAGUGCGAGUUUAUGGAAAAAGCAAGCCAUCAUCAGCAUGAUGGAGAGACUGGCUCGAAAGGGGAUUGAAUGGGCUCAGAGAAAGAACAGCCUAACUACAGCUAUCAAACCCAACCAGACAAAUGCAUCUUCCAAAACAACAUCUCCAAGUCUCCAUCAGAAGCUGAAACAGUUUAAGAGAGGAAAGGUAUCCCUGUGGAUAUUCUUUCUGCUCCUGCCCUACGUUUCUGCUACCAAACUCAUCUGCAGGAUGCUGACUGGAGUGACUCUGGUGAGGUGCUGGACCUUCUACAGUUCUCAUAAUCUCAUUCCUUCUCUACACAAUUCUUCCUUCAGGGAAUUAGAAAAAAAAAAAUCAAUGGACUUAAAACAAUUAUGUCAAUGAAAAAAAAGGGAAAAGCAUACAGUGGUUUUUUUUUUUUUUUUUGUUUGUUUGGUUUUUUUUGUGUGGGAUGUGCAGAUGCUGACAGAGAGCAUUACUUCAGAAACAUCAAAAGUGUGAUGAUAUUAAUAGAAUUACUUAGGCCUGAGAAAACAGAGAUAAUCUGUCAUUUACAAGUAAAUGACGACUCAAGACUUGUAACUGCUGGACUGCAUAAUAUGGCCACAAAAUGCUUCCACAAGCAUUGUCCAGGAAAUUAUUACACAAAAUGCUUCCCCAAGCAUGAGUUCAGAAAAUUAUUGCACAGCUGUAGUACAAGUGUGGAGGAGAUUAGUAGAGACUUUCAAUAGAUUUUUAGGUUCUCCAUCUUUAAAAAUACCUUUCAUUCUCAAUGCAGCUUGAUUGCAUAUAGUAGCUGGCAUGAAGGCAAGAAACUGCUAUAGCAAAGUCUUGGGAAGAAAUUACCAGCAUAUUUGGAUAUGCUGACAAUGUAGAUGCAGGAUGGAAAAAGCUUUCAGUAUCUGAAUCAUAGGAAGAAGGACAGGAUCAUGAUUCUGCGACCUUAAACAGAGGAAGUCUUUGAAGGAAAUUAUUCCCCCCUGCUCUGGCUUCCACUCCUGUGCUACUCUGACUGCUGAACCAUGAGCCUUCUGUUCUUACAAAGCUGUCCCCGAGGCAGCACCUCUCACUCUGCCCAGGCUCAUGUCCUGCAUGUGCUGUAAUGAAUUAACAGUAAGUGCAGCCUUACCAUUGCUCUGAUCUGUUCUCAUAUCACCUGGGGAGAAGUGUUUUCUGCAGUGCUAGACACAAACCAAGACAGAAUUUGAUGUGAGUACCCUUUGAAGGAUAAAGUAACUGGUACCAUAAAAUGAUUUAUACAGUGUCCUGGCAUUUUCAGCUACCAAGAUGAACUACUAUGGAGUAUACAAUAAAGCUCUUUAUCAAACCUGGCUUUUCAUGUCCCUUUCAGCUGUAAAGAGAAAUGUGUGAGAACACAGCUCCAUUGGUUAUCCCCGGGGAACAGAAGUACAAUUUCUUCAAUACAAUAUUUGAUGCUGGUUGGAAUUGCUUCUGGAUUAUCAGCUUUUAACAAAGGAAGGUAUUAAUACUGAGAAGUAAUGUUGAGCUCAAUCCAUAAUCUAUAACCAACUUUAAAAAACAAAAGUGGACUCAGCAGAGUCAGGGUAGAAGAGAUGGAAGAAAUGCUCACUUUGUUUAAAAUACUAAAAAGAAAAUUAUUUUAGAUGAUGAAAUUGAAUAAAUUACUUUCCCUGUGA